GGGGUUGUGGCUCAGCGGUAGAGCACUCACCUAGUGUGAGCAAGGCACUGAGUUCGAUCCUCAGCACCACA
rnacentral:tRNA from 1 species